rnacentral:rRNA from 1 species
GACAGAGGCCUCAAGCGUUAUUCGGAAUCACUGGGCUUAAAGCGUGUGUAGGCGGAUCGUUAAUUGUCUUGUGAAAUCCCACGGCUCACCCGUGGAACGGCUGGGCAUACUGGCGAUCUUGGGCCAACUAGGGGCAACUGGAACAAGCGGUGGAGCGGUGAAAUGCGUAGAUAUCGCUUGGAACGCCAAAGGUGAAAACAGGUUGCUGGGGUUGUGCCGACGCUGAGACACGAAAGCCAGGGGAGCAAACGGG